rnacentral:rRNA from 1 species
GGAGUCUGCAACUCGACUCCGUGAAGUUGGAUUCGCUAGUAAUCGCAGAUCAGCCAUGCUGCGGUGAAUACGUUCCCGGGCCUUGUACACACCGCCCGUCAAGCCAUGGAAGCUGGGGGUACCUGAAGUACGUGACCGCAAGGAGCGUCCUAGGGUAAAACUAGUAACUGGGGCUAAGUCGUAACAAGGUAGCCGUACCGGAAGGUGUGGCUGGAAUACCUCCUUUCUAGAG